rnacentral:rRNA from 1 species
AUUGAACGCUGGCGGCAGGCCUAACACAUGCAAGUCGAGCGGAUGACGGGAGCUUGCUCCUUGAUUCAGCGGCGGACGGGUGAGUAAUGCCUAGGAAUCUGCCUGUUAGUGGGGGAUAACUCGGGGAAACUCGGGCUAAUACCGCAUACGUCCUACGGGAGAAAGUGGGGGAUCUUCGGACCUCACGCUAACAGAUGAGCCUAGGUCGGAUUAGCUAGUAGGUGAGGUAAUGGCUCACCUAGGCGACGAUCCGUAACUGGUCUGAGAGGAUGAUCAGUCACACUGGAACUGAGACACGGUCCAGACUCCUACGGGAGGCAGCAGUGGGGAAUAUUGGACAAUGGGCGAAAGCCUGAUCCAGCCAUGCCGCGUGUGUGAAGAAGGUCUUCGGAUUGUAAAGCACUUUAAGUUGGGAGGAAGGGUUGUAGGUUAAUACCUUGCAGCCUUGACGUUACCGACAGAAUAAGCACCGGCUAACUUCGUGCCAGCCGCCGCGGUAAAAC